AUUUAAAUAGUUUAAUUAAAAAUUUUAAUAUGUGAGGUUAAAGAUUUAUUAUCAUAAUUUAAAUUUAUAUAUAUAUA
rnacentral:tRNA from 1 species